ACCUAGGAGACAGACCUUCAGUCGUGCCUGCCAGGGAUCGGUUAGCAUCCUAGCAUGCUUGUGGGAUUAUCUUGAUGGGAUUGAGGUGCGAAAACCCACCCUAAUAUGAGUGACUCCAUUCUCUGAGCUUGAGUCUUUGGUGGCAUAAUAACAAGGAAGAGAGCUAAGGAGCAGAACACAUCCCUCUGUCCCCUGACUGAAAGUGAAGUGACCAGCUGCCACCAAGACUUGCACAACAUAAUGGGCCGUGCCCCGAUACUGUGAGACAAAACCAACACUCCCCUAAAUUGCUUUUGUCUGAUAUUUCAUUGCAAAACAGGAAAAGAAACUAAGACGGGGCCUGUGGUUUUAUUUACUAAAUCUGUCUGUUCUGGGAGGUGCAGAUCACGGGUGCCAGCCCUUCUUCACCCACCUCAUCCCCAUCUUAAAGCACAGAGAAAGCUGGUCGAUGAGUCUGCUGACCAGCAGGGGGCGCCUGCCCAAUUCUGAUGGUUUCCUGCCUAUAGCUCAUGGAUGCAAUUUGGAGGUGGCCACUGGGUGGCACCAUUAUGUCACAUAUGCCUACUGAGAAUCCUGUUGACUGCUGGACAGGGGACAAGUCUGGAAUCCAAAGCCCUCAUCUGGACUGACUCUGCUAUGGGGACUCUGCAUGCUAACAGCCAUGCUGCUGCUGAUCCAUCCUGCCAGGUCCCAGCCUGGCAGAAGUCAUUUUGCAGCAAGGAGAGACUAAGACAGCAGUGGGAUCUCAAGGAUCUGAGCUGAGUCUGAUGUCCUCGCUGUACAGAGUGUUGUGGGAACGAAAGGCUAAUCAAAAGCCAUGGUGCCUGAAACCCUUAAAGGACCAAAGUCCGGAGACUCAGGCUGGCGUUCACCUCCUGCAGUCAGUGUGCAUCCUGGGUAAGGCAGACGUGUCCAUCCACCUGUUGAAGGAGCAUCUUCAGGAGAUACUGAGCUCAUCACCCUCAGAGACCUCCAAGCAAGGUCCCAUCCGAUGUCCACGGGGAACACUGUGAGAAGCACUGAUGGGCUGUGGUUGCUGGGUGCAGGGACACAGAAGGGGUCACUGAAACUUGCCCUAAGCUCUGAAGGGUGCUUACCCCUAGUGGCUACCUGAUGCUCAGAGAUGCCCCAAGGCAGUCUUCAGACACCCGAUGCCUGGGCCUCACUUGCAGGCACACGGGGUCCCUUGGAGGGGAAACCAGGGCAGUGUGAGUGAAAUCCGAGAACAAAGGUGCGUAUUUGCUUACAAGCGGAGAGAAUCACAGAAUUGACACAUUCCUCACAAUUGACAAAUAGCACGGAUAUUGGAAGGAGAAAACCCGGAAAAAAUAACAUGUGAUUUUUAUUAGCAGUCUGGCAGGUAAUAAAAAUGGGGCUUGCACUG
rnacentral:lncRNA from 1 species